GUCACUGAAACAAUUUGGAGCAGACACCUGAGGUAUCUGUAAGGAAGAGAACAUUGCUCAUCUUCACAACCAGACUUGGGACAUCUUCAGAAAAAUACCAGUUCUAAAGCAGUGAAGCCCACACAUGAGAGAGCCAUUUCUUCCUCCUGAUCCAGAUGUGAUGCCUGCAGCCUAGACCUGCAACUAAGAAACAAAGUUUGAUAAUGGACUUACAACUUAACCAGGCAACCCUGGAGAGCUACAGAUUGCUUCUGCUACCACCAGACUCGCUGUGUGCACGCUCCUGGCAAAGGAUCCCCGGAACAUCUCCAAAGUAGCUGCAUUAAAAUGCAUCCUGGGAUGGGCAGGAUGGGAGGGGCUCUCUGCCACAGCUUGCAGUCCCUUUCACUACUAUUUUAGCCAGAAGCAGAGUAAGUCAAAUGUUCACCUAAAGUAAAUGUACCCCUUAGGAUGGAAAAAAAAAUACAUAAUUCAGUUUCUAAAUCACCAUGUUGCCUUGCAGGGAUCCUGAGAAAAGAGACUUUGGGGGCUGGGUACUGCACUGGAGGAGAUGUACUAGAGAUGCUCUGCUGCUUUGUCCCUAGGAAGAAUUUCCAUGUGUAAAUCCCUCUGGGAAUGUUACUGCUUUCCUCAGCAUCCCAUCCUAGCUGCUUCUGAAAUCCACAGAGGACUGUAAGCGAAGGGAGCCAAUGACGGUGUGGCUGUGUGGCUUGUGCCUCUCUGAAGCCUUUCUGGGGGUUUCUUCUUUGAAUGAGGGUGAUUUGAUAGAACAAACCACUCCACAUGCAACCAAUUAUUGCCUGAGCGCUCCAGAAGGAGCUGAAGCCUGGGUAAUUCUGAACACCACUCGAGCCCUACAACUCAUGCCUAUAGCUUUGUUGUGCCAGUUUUUCCAUUAUGAGUAUCUGUUGUGUAACAUCAGAUACUUUGCAGUUAAUUUUUUUAAGAGACAGCGUUGGGUUACGUGAUGAAACGCUCAUCUCCACACAAAGAAGAGAGCACAGAGGAAGAGUGACAGGCAAGGAGCCCCCCCAGGGAGCCGAUCGGAGAAAUGGGGCACCCAGACCUGCCCCUCCCAGCGCUACCACCGGCCACCCCUGGGCAAAGGGAGCUGCAGCGACCCCUCAACAGGCACCAGCCUCUGCAGAGGAAGUCCAUGCAGCACUCUGCUCACGUGGCACCUGCCUGGGGACCAGCAUCACCACCAGAACAUUUUGGAAGUCUUUUUUAUGAAGAGUUCAAAAAUCACUGCUCCAAUCAGAAUGGGUAUAGUGUGGGGAGCCUCUGUCUAACAAAAUAAGGUCUUCAGGAAACUUAAACACUCACAAAUGCUUGUGUGCUGUGAGAAACUGAAGCAACUACUUUAUUCAUGUUAUAAAAAGUGAGUGAUUCACCAGUAAUCUGCAUGCCAUUUUCAAGUAUGUGAAAAAAAAAAAACAAAAAACCAAAACCCACAUAGCUGCACCACAGUGCUGUGAUCCAGGAUGCUCACGGUACCUAUGACAAGCAUGUGCUACACUGGGUGUUCUGACAGCAUUUGAAAGCAAGGACUCUGUCAGAGCCAGGGUGGUAGUACCAAGGGAAAAAAGAAAAAAAAAAAUAUAGCAAAAGAAAGAGAAAAAAGGUGGAAGAAAAAAACCUUGAACAUCAUAAACAAUGACAACACUUUGAUAGCUCUCACUGCAGCCACAGCCAUGGGGACACCUGCUAUUAUAUUGGUUGGACCUGAUGCAGCUGAAGCUGCUUUUUUUUUUUUUUCCUAGGAACUUCUUAUCUCUCUGCUGCAAUAAAACACUCUAAACUCAUGACA
rnacentral:lncRNA from 1 species